rnacentral:lncRNA from 1 species
CCAUUUUUCAUCUUUAAAACCUUUGUCUUAGUUACAGGAGCUAGAAGCUCAUUUGAGAAAAAAGAGAAAGAAGAUUCUUACACAAUCUGUUGAUUUCAGCCCUGUGGUCUCUUAAGAACACCAAUUAAUAUUCUGAGAUUCAGUAGGAACUCUCAAGAGUUGGCAAUCCAGUAUCUGGCAACGUAACAGGAAAAGGAAGAAGAAUCUAAUGAGGAAAAUGAGAUUAAGACCAGAAAUUGUAUCCUACAGACCAACACUUGGACCAAAGAUUGAGAAGCAAUGUGAGAGAUUAUAGGGGGAGACUUCACAACGUAAUGACAAGUAAACUUGCCACACUCAACAAAAUAAAAUCCUCCUCAGGGGUUCUUCACAUGCAUAUGAUCAGGUGGCCCUCUGGCUCAGAGAGCUGAACCAAAUGGAGCCUGCUUCCAUGUCAAAGUCGGUUUCUAUGUGUUGUGCUGGGAACUGGAUGCAAAGCUAUUGUUCAAGCCAGAGACAGUAUCUGACAAUUGUUCUGUUGGUACUGAAGUGUUCCAGAGCAGGGACAAGAAGAGGAAAAUGAGAGUGGGGAUACCAGAAAAGCAAAUACUGACAGGUAGCUGGUUUCACUUCAUAAAUGCAGCAGCAAGUUAUUCCCAGUCCAUCCUCUCCUCGUAUCAGGUACAGCUGCAAGUUGGAGGGACGUGCUUGUAGUAAGAUAAACAAGGAAUCAGUCUCUUGAAAAAGGUAACAUUUUAGGACUUCAGUUCUGGCUGAGCUCAGUGUCUAUUGAAAAAAACAUCUCAACCUCAGAUAACUACCAUGUUCCUCAGUCAGGUCUUGUUGUCAUGGUAGUGAUGUAUUUGAUCUAUAUUUAUAACAUAAGAUUUUGAAUAGAUUAUUUCUGCUUUUGGAGUAGAGGGGAAUGGGUGGCUAUUCCCAUUUAAAAAGUAUGGUUUAAAUGGUAUUUAUUUAAAAAAAAAAAAAAAACGCUGUUUCUUCAGGUAAGACACAAAAGCUAGAGAUAGUUACCUUUGCUUGCCAGUUUAAUGCUAGAAUGUGCUUGAACUUAUUGCUGAACAUGGCUUCCAGAUGUGCCAGCAGAGAGUGCCAUUGUUACAGGUUUUUGUAAAUCUUGCUACAUGUCCUUCUGCAUCUUUAGGAAGCCAGAAAUUUCUGUAAAUCUGGCCUUACGCUACUUUGGAAAACAUUUUUCGCAAGUUGUACCCACCAUUAAAAAGAUUGAUGUAGGAGAUUAAGCUAAAUGCACAAAACACUUUCAUUUUCUUUAUUUUCAAUCGAUACUGUAUGAAUACAAAGUUUCUAGAAAGCUACAAAAAUUCUACCACUUUAUCAAGAAGGCAUCAAAAUGUGUCACUUUGCAAAGACAUGAAAACACCUGCAGUAACCGACACAAAAAUAGCAUUUUUAGAGUGAUGAAAUAAUUGCACUUAACUGUCAUGGAUAUUAAAGUUAUCACACAUAUGUACCGCGAAAGCUAGAAUACAUUUUUUUUUUUUUUACAAAGCACUUUAUAAAAAAAUUCUCUGCACACAAAACCUAUAAUUUUCAUAUUACUAUCAUACUAAAGAUAAAUUCACUUUAAAGCCAACACUUAAAACAUUUUAAACAAAAAAAGGUACCAGUACCUACACACAGACAAUAACAAAUACAAGAAUACUGUACUGCCAAGAGGUUUGACUGAAACUCCUUUUGAAAGCUUCUGCAAAUAUGUUAAGAAAACAUUGGAGAACAUUCACUUUUUUCAAAGAGCCUUCCCUCCCUUGUCUAACCUAGAGGUACUUUAUCAUCAAAAGGCAAGUUCUACAUCAAAAGUUACCAGCAGCAGUACAAUAUUAAAGUAACCACUGACCAUAUAUGAAUAUGCUUAAGUCACAAACCCAUUUUAUACACAUUACACAAAUAAACAUAAAGUGAGAAUUCCA